rnacentral:rRNA from 1 species
UACGUAGGUGACCAGCGUUGUCCGGAUUUACUGGGCGUAAAGAGCGCGCAGGCGGUCGUUCAAGUCGAGUGUGAAAGCCCCCGGCUCAACUGGGGAGGGUCACUCGAUACUGAUCGACUUGAAGGCAGGAGAGGGAAGCGGAAUUCCCAGUGUAGUGGUGAAAUGCGUAGAUAUCGGGAGGAACACCAGUGGCGAAGGCGGCUUCCUGGCCUGUUCUUGACGCUGAGGCGCGAAAGCUAGGGGAGCAAACGGG